CCCUCCCUCUCUCUCUCCAUCGCCACUGAGUUUCAUUCACCAACAAAGAGCUGUCACUCUUCCCUGAAAAACUCCAGAUUCUGGCUGAGCGAAGGACCACUAUUUUAUGGCCAAAAUCUUGUUUACCUGCAGGAGAGUUGAUCUGAUGAUAACAGAAACAGGAUCACAUCUGGAAACCUAUUUCAUUCAUCUUACAGGCUAUGCAACAAGCAGUGAUAUGGAGGUAGCGCAAAAAUAAGUCAUUUUUAGAAAUUCACGUGUUUUUUAAUUCUUAAUACAGGCCUAAUCUACGUUAUGGAAGCGACUGUGAAGCUGCACAAUAAAGAUCUGUGUGUUUUAAAGGGUGUGAAAACUCACGCAAAUAAAAAAGGCAGACUGAAUGGCUUUACUGUCCAGUACACAGGCCAAAUACGGUGACAACAAACCGAAAAUGAGGCAGCAAGGUCUGUAUUUUGACUAACACAACCCAGGCCUUUACAGCUGAACUCCGGAUAACAGCUAUGGACUCUGCAAGGUCGGUGGCUGAAAAUGGCUCCAUAAAACAAUAGAUACACUGGCUGAAUCUGUGACUCGGCUUUAGUCCCAUUAAUAGAUUUACUGAGGCUCAGGGGGGUUUGCAGGUGUGGAUGCUUCAUCUCAAGACGUGUUACAUUAUAAUGUGUAGGCUAAUCCCCAGCCCGCCCCCGCCCCCCCACCCACCCACCAUGAAGUUGUGUUGACUUUAAUUGGAGGCCCCUUGAUAACAGCGCUAUAAGACGAGACCUGAACCCUCCUGGACGGGCCGGACCUGCAGCUGUUCUGAAAAGCAUAACGUUAAUUUGCGCCCUGUCAGUGUCUUAACACCAGCCACAGAGCGGUGAAAAGAGACUCAAAGGGGACACACGGGUUUCAUUUCACCUGGACAAAGACACCCUGAGAGGAGUGAUCAACUCAGCAUUGUGUAAAAUUUAAUCUGUCUGCUGUUUUUUUUUUUGUUGUUUUUUUUUUUUCUCCUUCUCUCCGGAAAUUAAAAGAGAUUUCAAAAUAUGGACUUAUUCACAUAGUAAAAUAUAAAUACUGUAUGCACAUGUAUCAUAUCGUUAAUGUCGAUAAAGAAGGCUGUUUUGA